CACAUCUUAAGAGAAAGGAAAUGUACACAGAGAAUUGGACGCGGGGUAUUUUUUAUGGGUCAAGCCGGAACUCAGUCCUAUGGCCACAAAGAAAUAGGGGAGGCUAGAAAAUUGUUCUAGCUCCUCUUUGACAUUUUAUUAUUGAGUUAAAGGAGUUCAUUACACAUUUAGGAUUCCAAUCUUUGUUAAACAUAUUAAUUGCAAAUAUUUUUCCCCUGUUGUAGCUUGACUUUUCAUUGUCUUUCUAGUGAAGAUUGAUGUGGAGAAGUUUUAAUUUUUUUGAGUUACUAUUUAUCACAUUUUUUCUUUAUGUUCAGUGCUGGGUGCUUUUUUGUUUGUUUGUUUGUUUGGUGAGGAAGAUUGGCCCUGAGCUAACCUCUGUACCAAUCGUUGCAAUGAUCAUAAUGGUGAUAAAUUUCAUUUUUGCAAUUAUGUUUGUACGUUAUGUUUUUCUUGCUAAACAUUAAGCUUAGUGAGAAUAGAUACCAUGUCUUCAUUUUUUUUAAUUGGAGAUUUUGUGCUCGACGCAUACAAAUUUGUAAACAAGUAUUUCUGUUAGACUGGAUUCCAUAAGGUAGAGAUGAUUUUAAAUUUCAGUAAGGGCUGUUUAUGCAUUUCUGUGAGUUUAAAAAUACUGAGACAUAAAUCCACAUAAAUAAUGUCACAUGGGCAGACUUUGUUUUUAUCCCAAUGUUUCUAUUGCUCCCAAUAUUUUUAAAGUGUUCCUCAGUUGUGGCAAAUCUGUCAUGUAAGUGUGGAUUUGAUAUAACGAUGAGGCAAACGUCAUUCUCUAGUUAACACUAGAGACUACAGUGAGUGAUUAAAUCAGAUAAAUCAUUAAAAUGACUUUUGAGGUGUGACAGUAAAGAUAUUGACUUUUCUAGGUUUCUAUAACUUUUGACUUGAAGGUAACCUUAGAUAACCCUAAACAAUAAGUAGUGUAUGACUUUCGAAAGUGGGUUACUUGGACAUAUUCAAAAUCUAUUUGGAUGCUGAAGAGAUUGAAUUUUUUUUUUUAAAUAUGACUACUGUGUGUAUUUCCAGCUAUACUCUGAGAUUGUUUGAUCUCCAAAGAUUUAGGUCUCAAGUUGCCACAGUAAAAUAUUUCAGAUUCCCUUCGUUCUAAAUACGGAAAAUCUCUCCUUCAACAGUGUACCCUAAAUAUAACCAGGAAAGAUAUGAAAAUUUCAUGUCUUCUUGUUAAAAUUAUAUACUUUGGCAAGGGCUAAGUUACUUAUACAUAUUAAACAGAUAUUACUGAUACUAUAGCAGCAAGGGAAAAAUAACAGGUGCUAAGCUAUGCAAGCUGUAAUAUUUGUUAUGCUCUGUAAAGACGGCAGGAGAAUCCUCCUGUGGAACUCGUUGGGAGUUCUUUAGGCAGCUAGUGAAAGGAAAGACAGAUAAAGUGCUGUCUAGGCCCAGGCUAUUUUGUGUUAAUAUAGGGCUGCCCGAUUUAUCAAAUAAAAAUACAAGACAUCUAGUUAAAUCUGAAUUUGAGAUAAACAAUGAAUAAUUAUUUAUAACAUAAACAUUUUGUGUGUAAAAUAAAAAUAAUUUUAUAGUAUGCAGUAUUUGGCAUAUACUUAUGCUAAACCAUCAUUCUCUGUGGAUUUCAAACUUAAAUUUAACUGGUCACACUAUAUCUUAUUUGCCAAUCGUAUUUUUUUAAAAGUUUUACGGAGAUAGAAUUCACAUACAAUUCACCCAUUUUUAUUGUGCAAUUCAAUGGAUUUUAGUAUACUCGCAGAGUUUUAAAACUGUCACCACAAUCACUUUUAGAACAUUUUCAUUGCCACAAAAAGAAACCCUAUAGCCAUUAGCAGUCACUCCCCAUUCCCACCCAGCCCCACCACAUCUCCUUGGCCCAGGCUAACACUAAUCUACAUUCCACCUCUAGAUUUGCCUAUACUGGAUAUUUCAUAUAAAUGGAAUGAUAAAAUAUGUGGUCUUUUAUAACUGGCUUCUUUCAGUUGGCAUAAUGUUCUCAAAGUUCUUUCAUGUUAUAACAUGUAUCAGGAUGUCAGUACUUCAUUGUAUUUUAUUGCUGAAUAACAUGCCAUUUUAUGGAUACACCACAUUUUGCUUAUCCAUUCAUCAGUUGAUGGACAUUUGGGUUUUUUCCAACUUUUUGCCAGUUAUGAAUAAUUGUGAUAUGAACAUGGUGUAUGAAUUAUGUAAGGUUGGAUUUGUUGGGUCAUAUGAUAACUGUGUUUAAUUUUUUGUGGAACUAACAAAUUGUCUUCCAGAGAGACCGUACCCUUUUCCAUUCUCACCAGAAAUGCAGGAGGAUUCCAAUUUUUCCACAUCUUCACCGACACUUAGUACCCGUUUUCUUUUUUAAUUAAUGCCAUCCUAUUGGAUGUGAAGUGGUAUUUUAUUUUCAAACCCAUUUAUGUCUGAUAUUAUUAUAACUGCUCCAGCUUUCUUACGGCUGUUGUUCACGAGAUGGUGUUUUACCGUUCUUUUUUUUUCAGUCUAUUUGUAUCUUUCACUGUGUCUCCUGUAGACAGCAUAUUGCUGGAUCUUAUUUUGUAUCCAGUAUGGAAAUCUCUGCCUUUUAAUUGGAAUGUUUAAUUCAUGCAUGUUUAAUGUUAUUAUGGAUAUGGUUGGAUUUACGUCUGUGGUUUUGCUUUUCAUAGGUCUAUGUCUCAUGUUUUUUUCUUCCUCUCUUUCUCCUUCACUAUGUUGUCUUGAAUUAGGUAAAUAUUUUCUAAUGCAGUAUUUUAGUUUCUUAAAAAAAAUUAAACUCACUAAUAAAAUUAUAUUUUUAGAUUAUUUUCUUAUUGGUUGCUGUAUGCUUCCUCCUGGCAACCCUAACUUAAGGCCGUUUUUCCCCAACUCCCUGAAUAACUGCAGGCCUGACUGAGAUUGGUUAGUCCUUACACCUACAGAGAAAAUCAAUGCGAUCUAAGGAGGGAACCGAAUGCCUGCUUGCAAUACCGCUGCUAUUAUUACAUUAAAUACGCAAGAGGCAAAUUUACUGUCUCCAAAACUCCACUGCUAAAAUUUUAUUUAACUUAGUUAUUUAUUGAGUACCUGCUAUUUUCCCAGCUCUUUGCUAGUAAAGAUUUAAAUUUCUGCAACAGCAAAAAUGAAUACUGCAUGUAAAGGUCAGAGUUAAAAUUGUGGUCAGAUUCAGAAAUCCAAGAAAAUGGAAUGAGCGACAUGAGGCCAAAGAAAAUCAAUUUAGAGAGAAGAUUCACUCCUGAGUGUAAAGUAGUAGUCAGAUACUCAGAUGUUUCCAGAUCCUCUAGACAACUGGAGUAAACCAUAUGCUUAAUAUUGUAAGGAAACCGAUUCAAAGACCCUAUCUCUUACACAGUGGGAAACUGAACAUCUUUCAUAAGAUCUCUGGAGACCUUGUGGGUGUCUGCCAAUCUAGCACCCUGCUGCUCAUGAGUUCUGGAUCCUUGCUCACUCUUCUGCCUACUGUAAUUCUUAUUUCUUCCCAUUUCAAGUAAAUACUACUUUCACUCCCGCAUCAAAAAAGAAAAACAAAACGAAACAAACACGUUGUCAGAAAGUCACAGGUUGGUAAGACUCUAUCAGAGUCCUCCUAGUGAAAAGAAGAGGAGCUGCAUUAUCAUGAAUCAUAGUCAAUAACUUAAAACCAAGUUAUUACUAAG
rnacentral:lncRNA from 1 species